rnacentral:rRNA from 1 species
ACGAACGCUGGCGGCGUGCUUAACACAUGCAAGUCGCACGGAAAGGCCCUGCUUGCAGGGUACUCGAGUGGCGAACGGGUGAGUAACACGUGGGUGAUCUGCCCUGCACUUCGGGAUAAGCUUGGGAAACUGGGUCUAAUACCGGAUAGGAGCCAUCUUUAGUGUGGUGGUUGGAAAGUUUUUUCGGUGUAGGAUGAGCUCGCGGCCUAUCAGCUUGUUGGUGGGGUAAUGGCCUACCAAGGCGGCGACGGGUAGCCGGCCUGAGAGGGUGUACGGCCACAUUGGGACUGAGAUACGGCCCAGACUCCUACGGGAGGCAGCAAUGGGGAAUAUUGCACAAUGGGCGCAAGCCUGAUGCAGCGACGCCGCGUGGGGGAUGAAGGCCUUCGGGUUGUAAACUCCUUUCGCUAGGGACGAAGCUUUUUUGUGACGGUACCUAGAUAAGAAGCACCGGCUAACUACGUG